CCUAAAGCCAUGACACCACCUCCUUUAUAUAUAACAUAUCGCCAUCAACUAACGUAACGUUUCCUUUUUGUUUAUGCAGGAUAUCUUGUUUUGGGCUGGAGUGGACCAAAACAGAAUUGGAAUUUGAGCUUAUUAUUCUACAAUCUCCACCAUAGGCCCACAUUACGAUUUUUCUUCAAGUCACCACCUUGACGUUAUCGACGCCGCGUUCCUUCUUCUUCCUCUUUGAUCUGAAAAUUGAUCUGAGCCGGUGAACACUUCGCCGAGUUUCUUAACUGAAGAACAGCCUUUCUCUUGAAGCCAUGAGAAUUCUAUUCUCCUCCUCUCUUUGGAGGCCAAACCUUCACAGCCCAUGAUCAGCAUGACGAACAAGUAAUUCGAUGACAACUUCGCUGAAUUGCUUCGCCGCCGAAUCACUACUCCUCCUCCUUGUCUUUGCCGUGUGUCACUCUUGAAGAUUAAACCAUAAUUGCUAUUCUCUCUCAUCUCCUUUUCACUAAGAAUCCUUAAGACAAUGAUGACGUCUCAUCAACAAAUCCUACCGUCGACGACUCAUGUAGAACGUACGCUGCUACUCUGUCUUCAACCUUCCUCGUCUUGAUUCCAGAGAUCAAUUCAACUACCCAAAUCUCCAGCUCGUUUUCUGCAAACUCCGACCUUACCUCUAAAUAUUCUUCAUUGUGGUUGAUCCAUGGCUCAACCUUGUCGGAUUACUGCAGCACUCUGUGAGAUGUGAUUCUUCAACCGGCAUAUUUCUUUCAUGUGUUUCCCGUUAUCCGUUUCUCCUGCUUGCUCAAACUUCGUUCUUCAGCUUCUCGCCUAGGUACUCGUCUCCCUUCAGCCUUUCUUGUCGUUUAAGACGUUCUCUCAGGUGACCCUUUAGAGACUCCUCCGUUACUCCGACGAAACCAUGAACCUGUUUCCCUUCAACUUCCUUGUAAAGUUAUCCACUUCUCUUUACAUGUUUUAAGUUGACGAUUGUGAUGUUAAACUCAUCCAGUGAUCUUGUUGUGCUUUAUUUUUCAAUUGAGAUACUCGUCUCCCUUCAGUUUUCCUCUGUGAUUGCUCUCCACUGCAGUAGCUGUUUAAGACUUUUUCUCAUGUUCCUCAUCCGUUUCUUCAGAGCAUUUGAGUGAAUUUUUCUUGUGUCUUAGCUGCUCCACCUUGAGCUAAAACCUCUGCCUCGCAGCUAUGCUCAAAUGUAACUUUCUUUAAACUCCACCUCCUUGAGUUUUCCAUUAUCAAUAUAAACCCGAAACUGACUUGUUUCUUCUCAUCUGUCUCUGCGAGCUUGAGACAGCGUUGAUAAUGGAGUUACCUGGAGCGUCUCCCUUCUUAAGCGAUCAAGGAACAGCAGCGAACCUGAAACUCCGGCCCAGAUACUGCUUUACUUUGAGAAUCUUCUUGAUUAUUGCUCUUCAGAUGCAGCCAUAAUGUGUGCUAAGAAAUCACCAUCUUUUUGCCUUACUUCUUUUGCAAAAAAAACAUCAUCCGUUGAAGAUUCUGUCUGAGAUUCUUCACUGCUCUCUUUAGACUCAUUUUUUCUGUUGAAAAAGAGUCUCCACCUUGAGCUGAUGCGUCUUUUGUUUCAAAACCGUACGGAGUAGGUCCCUGAAUCAGAUUUGUAGAAAACGUCACCUUCUUUGACUUCUUCUUUCUGAUUUCUUUCUCCACUCUAGGCAAGUCUUCUUACUCUUAGCAAUUGUACCUUGUAGAUAAUAAACUCCAUCUUGAUAUUUUCCUGAUAUCACCUUCUUAUUAUCUUUAUAGAA